UUAUAAGGAUUGGAUUCUACUAUUAUUGUUGCUAUUAAUCACUCUCAGGACCGAACUGUGUUUAUUGUGACAAUUAGACUUUGUUUCUGCUAAUGAUAAACCCUGUUGGAGGUACAGAUGAUUGUCUUCCUAAGAUGCAAUGUUCCUUUAAAAGUCACCGUCUUCUGAUCUUUCCCCACAAUUCAAAAUCAGAAAUGAUUUUAGAAUGAUAUGAACGUUUACUUCAACUCUUAAUUGAUCUUUAGUAUGAAUUUUCCAAUUCAGUGCCAGAAGGGUUUCACUGAUUAAGAUCUCUAAUCAGCAUGUGCUGAUGAAUCGUUGCUGACAAUUCUGACUGACUUGCAUGUUCCAUACAGCGGGCCCUCCAUUAUCUAAGAGAAAGAAAGGAGAAUUGUUGGAGAAUCAAGUGUAUCCAUUAGAAAUUAACACGAGAAAUAGGAUUCGAGCAUGGACAUUCAGCCCUUCAAGCUUGCUGUGCCACUCAACAUGAUUAUUAUUUUCUACUUCAUUUUCCUGCACUAUCCUUAUUUCCUUGGAUGUCUUUAAUAUGUAGAAAUCCAAAGAUCUCCGUCUUGAACACAUACUCAAUGAAUGAGUCUGUGCAGCCGUAUGAAGCAGGGAAUUGCAAAGAUUACCAUUCCAAGUGAAGAUAUUCCUCCUCAUCUCCAUCCUUUAUGGCCUGUGCCUUUUCUGAAACUGUGUCCCCUCGUUCAGUUGUAAGCCCUGAAACAAGAUAACCAUGCUGUAUAACUAUGAUUCUAACAAUACAUUGAUUACAAAGAAUAUUAGGACAAUUAUUUCACAAUCCAUACAUGAAGCAACAAAAUGGGUAAGAGUUAAAACUGGCCGCCAAGAGACUGGAAGGAGAUUGCACAGAGAUCCACGUUGGCUUCAACCCAGUUCCCACAUUCUGUCUCACACAGUAACUAUUAGAAGAGACACUGCCGUCAGCUAUAGAGAUCAACAUUCUGCAUUGUCUUUCAUCCUCUGGAAUCUGAAAACUGUUCUCAUCUGUCAUGGUGGGGAAACAGAGUCGAUUGUUCUGCACACAUGAAUAUCUGAGAGGACUCUCCAGCAUGAUAUACUGUGGAAGGUCCUUCACACUUGCUGCUGAUUGUUAAGAUGGAGGAUAAAUGUGAGGUCAUUCACUUUGGAAGCAAAAACAGGAAGGCAGAUUACUACCUGACAGGCUGUACAUUGGGAGAGGGGAGUGUGCAGUGGGACCUGGGUGCACCAGUCGCUGAAGUCUGGAUGGUGGUCAAGGUGGUUUCAUUCUCUGUUUUGGUGAAGAUCAGAAGCAAUGAUAUCUGCUUGUCCCAUCUGCCUCACCCAGCCUGAGACUUGCCCUCACCAAAUCAGCUGAAAAUAAAUCAUUUUGGCAGCUGUUGGGGAAUUAGAAUCAUCAUGAGUUUGGCGGUGAGGGUGAUUCUAACCAUGAGAAUGUCAAUGGUUGUGUUUUCAAACCUUUUUCUGGUGGCAUUUUACGCUGAGUGCAAAUAACCGUGUCUGGAAAUGUUUCAGGUUGAGUCAUACCAAUCCCAGUCAUGAUGUGAUGGAGAUGUCUUUGCUGACUGGUAGGACAUGUCCAAUAUUGCAGGUCUGACUUCAGUGUCGGGAUCUGUGUUGCACAUAGCGGUUCUAAUUUCUCAAGAAUGUAAAGACACGCGACAGGUUGGCCAGCAGCAGGCAUCUGAUCAUUUGGCCAAGUUUAAGGUGAUGGACUACUAAUUCAAUGUGCACUGUACUUCUGGGCUCGAGUGUUUUUAAAGUUGCUGUUAAUUACUUGUUUGACUUUUUCAUAAGGCAGGUAAUGAUCUCCACGUUAAUGCCAUUGACUUUUAACUUAAUUCACUCAUGGACAUGAGCAUUGCUGACUGGUCAACAUUGACGCCCAUCCUUCGAUAAGGUGGUAAUGAGCUCCCUUCUUGAACACGUGCAAUCCGUGUGCUUUAGUUAGGCCAUGGUGCUGUUAAGGGAGAGAAUUCCAGGAUUUUGACACCGUGAUGGUGAGGGGGUAGUGACAUAUCUUCAAGUCAGGAUGGUGUUUAGCUUGAAGGAGUACUUGUUCACGUGAAUCUGCUGCCCUUGUGCCUUCCAGAUGGUCAUGGGUUUGGAAAUGCUUGUCAUGGCCUGAAUAUCGAACAUUAAAAGUUGAUCUCAUUGA